UACGGAGGGUGCGAGCGUUGUUCGGAAUUACUGGGCGUAAAGAGCGCGUAGGCGGCUUACCAAGUUGGGGGUGAAAUCCCGGAGCUCAACUCCGGAACUGCCUUCAAAACUGGUAGGCUCGAGUCCGGAAGAGGGGCGUGGAAUUCCAAGUGUAGAGGUGAAAUUCGUAGAUAUUGGGAAGAACACCGGUGGCGAAGGCGGCGCCCUGGUCCGGUACUGACGCUGAGGCGAGAAAGCGUGGGGAGCAAACAGG
rnacentral:rRNA from 1 species